UGGCGUGUAGUUCAAUUAGAGAGAGCAGUUGGUUUUUAAUCAAUGAUGCAGGUUCGAUUCCUACCACGCCAA
rnacentral:tRNA from 1 species